CUGGACAUUUACUGACGCUCAGACACGAAGGCUAGGGGAGCGAAAGGGAUUAGAUACCCCUGUAGUCCUAGCAGUAAACGGUGCUCGCUUGGUGUGGGGAGGUUCGACCCUCUCUGUGCCGGAGCUAACGCGUUAAGCGAGCCGCCUGGGAAGUACGGUCGCAAGACUAAAACUCAAAGAAAUUGACGGGGACCCGCACAAGCGGUGGAGUAUGUGGCUUAAUUCGAUGCAACGCGAAGAACCUUACCUAGGCUUGACAUGCUUGUCGUAUUCUCCCGAAAAGGAGAAGUCGCUUCGGGCGGACAAUGCACAGGUGCUGCAUGGCCGUCGUCAGCUCGUGUCGUGAGAUGUUUGGUUAAGUCCAGCAACGAGCGCAACCCCUGUGAACUGUUGCCAGCGGAUAAUGCCGGGGACUCUGUUCAGACUGCCCAGAUCAACUGGGAGGAAGGUGGGGACGACGUCAGGUCAGUAUGGCCCUUACGCCUAGGGCUGCACACGUACUACAAUGCCCAGCACAAUGAGAACCAAUACCGCGAGGUGGAGGAAAUCUGUAAAACUGGGCCCAGUUCGGAUUGGAGGCUGCAACUCGCCUCCAUGAAGUUGGAAUCGCUAGUAAUGCCGUAUCAGCUACGACGGCGUGAAUACGUUCCCGGGUCUUGUACACACCGCCCGUCACAUCAUGGAAGUCGGUCGCACCCGAAGUAUAUGCGCUAACUUUCGAGAAGCAGUAUCCUAAGGUGAGGCUGGUAACUGGGAUGAAGUCGUAACAAGGUAGCCGUAGGGGAACCUGCGGCUGGAUCACCUCCUUU
rnacentral:rRNA from 1 species